CAGAUUCGUGGUUCCGAGGGCAGAAUUCUGGGAAGUAUGGAGAGACUGCUAAUGAGUACUAGGUUGCUUUUCAGAGUGAUGAAAGUAUUCUAGAAUUAUACAGUGAUGACAGUUGGCACUGCUAGCAGGGUAGAUGGGGAAGGAAAGAGAAAGACUCAGGAGGGAUCUUGCUCCAGAGGACACCUGCAGCCCAGCCUGGGAGCCCCCGGGAAGCAGGGAGGACCAGCAGGUUCAAUGCAGCUCACCUCCUGCGUCUAGACGAGUCUCCACACUGGUCACUGGGGAACGGCCGCAGCCGGCACAAAGCUGCAGUCCAAGGCCACCAGGCCCUAGAUGGGCUACAGGCAUCAACGCCCACCUUGGCUUUAACUCUCAAUAACUUAAGAAAAAGAAAUAACUCUUGAAGAAGUCACUCCAGGCUUUAAAACA